UCCGAUAUGGUGUAGUGGCCAACAUGAUGCCCUCUCAAAAUUGGAGUGGUUAGGCAUAGCCCCGAGUUCGAUUCUCGGUUUCGGAA
rnacentral:tRNA from 1 species